CAGACCACUACCUUCCAUACACCACCCUGGAGCCUCCCUGUGACGGGGCUUCCUGACCGGCCUGUCUGAGCAUGAAAGGGCUGAGCCCUCCAUAGGCGGGCGUGCUGACAGGAUGCACGUGGUGGAGGACAUCUGCUGCAUUUGGCUGUGUGACAUCUCCCCCUCGCCUUCUGAACAGGUCUCUGCAGAGGCCAUGAAAAAUGUGCCAUUCAGCUUUUCUGCUAAUUGUUGAAGGCCCAGCUGCCACCGCUCUGGAUCUACACCCCAUUUGCAAUGAAGCCACACAUCUCGUGAGCCACUCCCAGCCCGUGACUGGGCACAGCAGGGGCCCUAACGCAGGAUAGCUCUGAGGAGGUGUGGGACCCUUGACAGUGGAGGACAUUGGCCCGAGAACUCUUCAUCGACCUGAUCAAACCUCUCUUGGAACUGCAAAGCAGUCUGAGACUCUUCUCCCAGUUUAUUAUCUCCCUAUUAACUAUCUAUAGUGUAGCUCAUUGGAAAAGAGUCAUUAAUUUUGAUUAUCAAA
rnacentral:lncRNA from 1 species